rnacentral:rRNA from 1 species
GACGAACCGAGCGAACGUUGUUCGGAAUCACUGGGCUAAAAGGGCGCGUAGGCGGGCUGUCAAGUCUGGGGUGAAAUCCCGCGGCUCAACCGUGGAACUGCCUCAGAUACUGACGGUCUCGAGGGAGGUAGGGGCGAGCGGAACUGAUGGUGGAGCGGUGAAAUGCGUUGAUAUCAUCAGGAACUCCGGUGGCGAAGGCGGCUCGCUGGACCUCUUCUGACGCUGAGGCACGAAAGCGUGGGGAGCAAACAGG